rnacentral:lncRNA from 1 species
UUGUAGGCAGUCUAUAUAUUAAGAUGAGAAGUCCACAUAUGAAAAGAGUUUCUAGGCGUUUCUCCUUUAAACCAGACAGAUGGCGUCCAAGUUUUCCCAGCUUCUCUAUGUCUAAGGACGUACCAAGUCAUAAAAGAAGAGAAACCAUUGCAAUCCAUAUCAUUAAAACACUACCAAUAUUUAUCGUUCUCGUCUAGUUGAAGGGGAAGAUAUCGUUGUCAGGAAAAUGUGGAGGUUUAAAGAUUGUUGUGAUCUAGGAGUUAAAAGAGUCCACACAAUGCCGUGAAUCACAUCAGCUAUCGAAGCUCUAAAGGGAUCCUUAGAUUUCUAGGUCCCUCCGGCCCCAAGUGUUUUAUUAGGAGACCAAAAAUAUGU